rnacentral:lncRNA from 1 species
UUCCUUAUCACUAUCUUCAUUUGGCUAUUUUGACAUACAUUACCCAAAUCCUCGGAAGAAAAUGUUCCUUCACUUUAGGCCAAUUGAUAAUCAAUUGGUCUUUCCAACACCAGCCAUUCCAUCAAGCCCGUGAAUUUUUGUUGCAUCAGAACUCCACCUGUAAGUCCCUAACUUUCUCGGCAUGGCAGCCUUGAUUCAUUAAUUAUUGAGUUGAGGACUUGGGCCUAUUUGGAGCUCCACCUUUAAGUUCUUUUUUUUUUAUCUUCGAUAUCAUCAUCCUUAUUCAAGACAUUAUUGAGGUAGUAGAGCUUUUCCCUAAGUUUUUGAAGUAGAUAUUCUUCUAUUUUCUCUGCCAUUUUACCUCAUCUUAAGACCCUUGUUUCUGCUCUUAAAAAGUUAGGAAAGAAAUAGCUAUUGGCCAAAAUUUCCAGGCCUUAGAUGUUAUGCCUUUUGAAACAGCAGGGUUGGAUAGGUUUCAAUAUCACUUUUGAUUGAUUUUGCAAAAAAUCAGACCCUAAUGAGCUAAAUGAACACACCAGAAGAAAAAAAGAAGCUUCACACAUUAAUUAAUACAUUUAAAUGUAAUGUGUGCUUCUUUUGUCCCAUAGCAAAUUAAUCUCUGCAUGAACAUCUUUUGUCACUUCCCUUUGCCAUGGUCUUCCUACUUGAUAUGCUUUUAGUUGUAAAAUUAAAUAAUUUGAUUCCCAUUUUUUUUUUCAUUCUUCCACUUUAUAUAUAAGAGUCGUCACUGAGAGCCUGUGAUCACAAACAAGGAUUUUGUUUCUGCAUGGUAAAUCUUAAAGCCAAUUAACCCUGUGUUAACCAUUGUUACUUUCCCAACUUGUCUUUCCAUAUUCGUGCAAUUAACCUACUAGCAACCCAUCAUUUUCCUUUCAUGCUAGCUUAAAAAUAAUUUCGAAUCCAUCUGUAACUAACAUUAUAGAACAAAUAAUGAGUGAUUAGCAAGAGGAAUAAAUUGAAUUUAAUUAGGUAUUUUAUAUGAUGCAAUUCAUUCAUAUGCUCCAUUUACCAUUACAAAGAUUGUAACUUUUCUUAAUCCUAUGUUUCAAUUCUGUAUAUUGUGCUUUUUAGGCACUUCAGCACUAACCAAAAGGACAGUAUGGAAAUACCCAUACCUGAACAUUGGAAGCAGCUGUGGGAUCAAUGGGAUCUUCGGGCUUUCAUCUUCUUAAGCCUUUUCCUUCAAACCUUCUUAAUUUUGGUCGCCCCACUAAGAAAAAGAACGUCGCG